UUCGAAGUCGGUUGUAUUUUUUGUUAAAAAUUAUUUUUAAACAAUACUUUGCAAAGUAACAAAGUGUUUAGUUCCAAAGGUAACCAUGCAGUAAACAUGUUCAUUCGUAACGUCCGAUUCGCGAAUUGUAUGGAAUACAAAGUGGUGUUUAUAUAAUAUUUUAGUGCAAGAUAAUGUGACGGAAGCGACGACAAUGUGUGAAGUUCAAAAUGGAGAAGAGGAUAACAGGAUACAUACUUGCUGGAAAGGUUUCAAUCUACGUUGUACAUCAAAAGCCAAGAUGUCAGUUUUCCGACAAGCACCAUGGACACCAGAUCGUACACGAAUUUCUCCAUCGCUUCAGCGAAGUACAUAUAUAGCAAAGUACACUGGAAUAUGGCUACCAUGAAAUGUGACUGAAGAACGGCAAAGGAAGAUAUCCGCGACGUAUACCUCCGUCGCACUUCUGUAUGGGAUAUACCUGCACGUGGUAGAUAUUUUAAACAUGGGAAGCAAUAAAUCGGAAAGAGAACUUUUAUCCCGCUCGAUUCCAGUGAUUUUCCCACGACGGAAACACCCUAUUACGAACUGUUGUUCCUAGUUCAGGUGAUUGUCGUGAUCGUAGUUUUCUUCGCUUAUAUUUAUGCUGAUACCCUUUUGUGCAUUCUGAACAUAUUUACACGCCUACGCGUGAUCUGUAAGUUUUGUAUGCUACGAUAUAGAAUGUUGCGUUUUUGGAACUCCGGUGUUGAUGACACGAAUAUAAUCAGAUAUAGUGCUCAAUGCAAUGCAGAAGUGUGUCCAGCAGCCAUAAAUACUUAUUCAAUUUUGUAAGAUGCUCGAACGUCUGUUCAAGUUCACUAUCUUUUGGCACAUAGUAGUUUUCAGUGUGCUGAUGGGUCUUGAUUAUUACCGAAUACUUCUGGUACAUGUGGCUAAAUAUGCUUAAUGUGCGUGGCUAAAUUCCUGGAUCAGUAAUAUUUACUUAAGGUUUUGUCGCAAAAUCUUUAGAUUUUGAAUUUUUAUAUGUCUACUUUUACCUUACAUUAUUAAUGUAACAUUAAUGCUAUUCAGAAUAAUAUUUUUCUGCUUUUGUUUCUGAUUAGUCGAACACAUCUGAUGACCCUUUCAGCAUUGAAAACACACGGCCCUGUAUUUAUAUUGACAUAUGUAUUUGCAGGCACACAUACUUAUGUCAAAGCGUUUAGUUUUCGCAAUUCACCUGCUUGGUAGCUUCAUCCACCUGGUUAUCUUCUCGUACAGUUGCCACGGUUUGAUAGCACGAGUAUCGUUUCAACGGUGUACAAUGAAU